rnacentral:lncRNA from 1 species
GUUUAAACCCCGCUCUCCCUUAUCUGAUCUCUCUCUCGGACGAGAGCCAUUGAUUUCUUCUUCUCCCAAAAGCCUUGAGAGCCAGGCCUUCCUUUGUCUCAUUUCUCCUCCCAAGUACUGCAGCGAUGACGUCGACCGAGACGGAAGACGCCGUAUGACGUCACACCGCCAUCACCGAUUACCGCAAGAGCUCGAAUCACGAGUCUGGCGAGAUCAGAUUCGUACUCCAAAUCCUCCUUAUUCAUGUUGGAUUCUGCAUCUGUAACCGGAGAGCGUUUCUCUCGCCAUCGGUGAACCAGCUCAAUGGGAUUGAUUCCAAAGUCCAGAGCUUCAUCUGCACCUGAAGAACUGAGAUCUUAUCAUCGACGAUUUAGCUCACCACUCUAGAAUCGUUUUAAUUCAAAGCUCUUGAGAAGUUGCUGAAGGAUUUGCUAAUAGAUUUGCUACUGGAAAUGAAGUGUAUAGCUCUUAUUUGUGGCUUUAGAGACUUUGCUCCAACUUCAAUGGGCAAACAACAGGCAUCCGUAAGUGUUGAAUUUAUCAUGAAGAUCCAAGUAAAGCUGUUCUUUUAAGAAACAAGAUAUAUUUGAAGUGGAAUGUGGCAAUGUGCAGUGAACGGUUGAGGCAAUCCACCCCAGUGGCUUUACACUACCACUUUAGGUUCAUUUUAUUUGUAUUGGUUUUGCUAUAAGCUUCAUUUGUUAUUGGUUCAACAACAUUUGUUUGUAUAUUGCUCAACUUUUUAUACAAGUGAAUGUUCUUUUAUGAAAUUGCAACAAGCAAAGAAUUA